UGCGAGCGUGACGUUAUGUUAUUAUCCAUUUCACACAAGUGUGCAUGCGCAGUGCGCACGCGGCAAGUUCCGCAUAUGGUAGCUUCUUGUGCAUCGUGAUUCAUCGGCCGUUGCCACCGGCCAUUACGCUGUCACUUUACAAGCGAUGGGACCGCAGCAUACCGUUCACAGCGGUUUUAUAUACUUUAUGGUUUAAACAAGUUUCCCGUCGCUGAUACCUAUGUAAACAGUGAACAAUUUCCCUAAUUAAGUACUCAGUACGUGUAACAACGACGCCCGAGGAUCGACUGUUUGUGAUGCAACUCACGCGCCCCUAAUGAGCGAGCUUUCGAUUCUGGCUCCACACUAAGGAGGGGCUGCGUGAAGAAUAAUCUCAUGGGGUACAUUGCUAGCAAUUUUGAUUGAAAUCCUUAUUACUAACAAUUUCUUUUCGCCACAAUAUUGGUUUGUGGUCUGUGUGGAUGGUGGAGUAAGAAUAAUUAUUAAGAAUACGCAUUACUACUUUAUUCCUUUCACAGGACAUCGAAGCAACUAAUUAUUGAGAAUAACAGAGCACUAUAAACUGUGUGAAAAAAUGAAACCGCGAAUUAUAAUUUAUACCUGCCAAGUCUCGCUUGGACAGUAUGGUAACAAUUUCUUAAUAUUCACCACAUAUGGAGAAAAUAAUA